rnacentral:rRNA from 1 species
GACGAACCGUCCAAACGUUAUUCGGAAUCACUGGGCUUACAGAGUUCGUAGGCGGUCUGGAAAGUUGGGUGUGAAAUCCCUCGGCUCAACCGAGGAACUGCGCUUGAAACUACCAGACUCGAGGGAGAUAGAGGAAAGCGGAACUGAUGGUGGAGCGGUGAAAUGCGUUGAUAUCAUCAGGAACACCGGUGGCGAAGGCGGGUCUCUGGGCAACAACUGACGCUGAGGAGCGAAAGCGUGGGGAGCGAACAGG